GCGUUGUAAGUUCCUUUCUUGUAUCUAUUUGGCUUCUUGACUCUACCAGUUGAGGGUGUGUUCGUUCGUCUAGGUAGCAAGUUACUUUCUUUGAAAUUUUCCUUAAGUGGGUUCAUGUGCGAUCUACUUUGUACGAGCCAUUGUGAUGUGUCUUCUGGUCUUCUUUUGGCAACGGUCGUGCCUGAAGGUAUAUCAUCUGAACGGUCAUGUUUCCAUAGCAACUUUGCCGUGGACUUUCCUUUUUCG
rnacentral:lncRNA from 1 species